UACGGGGGGAGCAAGCGUUGUUCGGAUUUACUGGGCGUAAAGGGCGCGUAGGCGGUCGUGACAAGUCACUUGUGAAAUCUCCGGGCUUAACCCGGAAAGGUCAAGUGAUACUGUCGGACUAGAGUACGGAAGGGGCAACUGGAAUUCUCGGUGUAGCGGUGAAAUGCGUAGAUAUCGAGAGGAACACCUGCGGCGAAGGCGGGUUGCUGGGCUGAUACUGACGCUGAGGCGCGAAAGCUAGGGGAGCGAACGGG
rnacentral:rRNA from 1 species